rnacentral:rRNA from 1 species
GACGAACGCUGGCGGCGUGCUUAACACAUGCAAGUCGAACGGAAAGGCCCUGCUUUUGUGGGGUGCUCGAGUGGCGAACGGGUGAGUAACACGUGAGUAACCUGCCCUUGACUUUGGGAUAACUUCAGGAAACUGGGGAUAAUACCGGAUAGGAGCUCCUGCUGCAUGGUGGGGGUUGGAAAGUUUCGGCGGUUGGGGAUGGACUCGCGGCUUAUCAGCUUGUUGGUGGGGUAGUGGCUUACAAAGGCUUUGACGGGUAGCCGGCCUGAGAGGGUGACCGGCCACAUUGGGACUGAGAUACGGCCCAGACGCCUACGUGAGGCAGCAGGGGGGAAUAUUGCACAAUGGGCGGAAGCCUGAUGCAGCAACGCCGCGUGCGGGAUGACGGCCUUCUGGUUGUAAACCGCUUUCGCCUGUGACGAAGCGUGAUUGACGGUAAUUGGUAAAGAAGCACCGGCUAACUACGUG